GUGAACGCCCGUAUCCAUUUUCCACUACUUCUUUCCGCAAUUUUCAUUCCCUUUACUUUUGUCAAGCGUGGUCGAAAGACUCGUAGCCAUUGCAUCCUAGGAUACGUCAUGUUUUCUGUUUGUUUUAAAUUUGUAUCAGUGCACAAAAAACUUAGUGCAUAAUCGUGACGUGUUGCAGCCAAACUCUCUGAAAAAUGGAUUCAACAAAUUAUGGAGGAUACAUUUUACUCCAUAUUAUAGUCGUUGGUCUAUCAAAAGAUCAUCCACUGACAGCUCCUGAUGCCUUGGAAUUGGCUUAUAAAUUUCAAGACGGUGCAAAACAAUGAAGCAUCUAUGGUUCUUUGUGCUAACUUCGUCUCACUCAUUGUCUUGGGAAUAUUGUCCUGCCACAAGGUUGCAUUCCUCUAAAUCUGGCUAUUAGCACUUUGGCUUCAUUGAAAGAGCUUGCACGAUAGAAUCUUUUUUCCUGGUCACCUCAUUCAAGUUGUUUUUUCAGCAGAACUAAACUUUAAGCAAAUGGAGCUUUAUCACGCUAUACCCAUGUUCUUCUAUUUGCUGGCUUCUUGUCACCGUAGGGGUUCCUCCUUAAUAUCAACUUUGAAAUUUGAUAAGUAUUGGGAUUGUAACAUUGGCCACUUUUACCAUUAUUUGGUAUCUAUUUUUACAAUUUCAUAAUGGGCUUUUGCAACAAGUUCUCUCCAGAGUCUUUCCUUUCAACCGCGGAAUUUUUGAAGAUUAUGUUGCCAACUUCUGGUGCACAUUAAAUGUUUUGGUCAAAAUCCGACGAAUAAUGGAACCCACCGCUAUCGCUAGAUAUUGUUUACUGCUAACAGCUCUUUUCAGUUUCCCUUGUGGACUUCAUCUAUAUUUUAAGAACAGUUCGCGUAAUUUGCAUAUCUCUUUGAUCAACGUGUCUCUUGCAUUUUUCCUAUUCUCCUAUCAAUCUCCUAUCAAUCAAGUGUCUGGUGUUUGGCUAAAGUGCCGUAAACCAAACAUCAUCAGUGAAAUACUCCAUUUUCUAAUAAAUGAGACACUUGAUGGACACUCUUUUGACAAAUAAAUAAUAAUAAUAGAAAUA